rnacentral:misc_RNA from 1 species
UACGGAGGGUGCGAGCGUUAAUCGGAAUUACUGGGCGUAAAGCGCGCGUAGGCGGUUUGAUAAGUCGGAUGUGAAAGCCCUGGGCUUAACCUGGGAAUGGCAUUCGAUACUGUCUGACUAGAGUAUGGUAGAGGGAAGUGGAAUUCCAGGUGUAGCGGUGAAAUGCGUAGAUAUCUGGAGGAACAUCAGUGGCGAAGGCGGCUUCCUGGACCAAUACUGACGCUGAGGUGCGAAAGCGUGGGGAGCAAACAGG